rnacentral:rRNA from 1 species
AGGACGAACGCUGGCGGCGUGCUUAACACAUGCAAGUCGAGCGGUAAGGCCCUUUCGGGGGUACACGAGCGGCGAACGGGUGAGUAACACGUGAGUAAUCUGCCCUCCACUUGGGGAUAAGCUUCGGAAACGGGGUCUAAUACCUGAUACGACAACUACCUGCAUGGGUUGGUUGUGGUAAAGUUUUUUCGGUGGGGGAUGUGCUCGCGGCCUAUCAGCUUGUUGGUGGGUAAUGGCCUACCGAAGGCUUCGACGGGUA